UACGAGGACGAACGCUGGCGGCGUGCUUAACACAUGCAAGUGGAGCGACGAACCGGGCUUGCCCCGGGGCAGAGCCGCGAACGGGUGAGUAACACGUGGGUAACCUGCCUCAAUGAUUGGGACAACCCGGGGAAACUCGGGCUAAUACCAAAUGUGUUCACUCCUUCUAAGGGGAGUGAGGAAAGGAAGCUUCGGCCUCCGCAUUGAGAUGGGCCCGCGGCCCAUUAGCUUGUUGGUGAGGUAACGGCUCACCAAGGCUUCGAUGGGUAGCUGGUCUGAGAGGACGAUCAGCCACACUGGGACUGAGACACGGCCCAGACUCCUACGGGAGGCAGCAGUGGGGAAUCUUGCACAAUGCGCGAAAGCGUGAUGCAGCAACGCCGCGUGGGGAAGACGGCCUUCGGGUUGUAAACCCCUUUCAGUUGGGACGAAGCUUCGUCGGUGAAUAGCCGGUUGGAGUGACGGUACCUUCAGAAGAAGCCCCGGCUAACUACGUG
rnacentral:rRNA from 1 species